AUACUUACCUGGCAGGGGAGAAACCACGAUCUUGAAGGUAGUUUUCCCAAGGCGAGGCUUAUUCACUGCACUCUGGAUGUGCUGACCCCUGCAAUUUCCCCAAAUGUGGGAAACUAGACCCAGAAUUUGGGGUCAUGGGGAACUGCAUUCAUGCUCUCCCCUG